rnacentral:lncRNA from 1 species
UUACAUCUAAAAAUUUUUAUAAAUCAAUAUGAUUAAAGAUCAAAUCCAUACCUAGAUUACAGUGAAACUAGAGAUCAAAUCUUUGAAAUCUGGAUUCAACCUUUGUGUAGGCCUGGAACUGCAAGCCCUCUACUUUGAGCGCAAGCUAGGCAACAUAGAAAAAUGGGAUAAAUCUCUUGAUCAAGUAUCUUCGCAAGGCCAUCAAAGGAAGGAGAAGAGGUGCUGGUGUGACCCUUCACACCAGCAAAAGAAACGCCCAAGAAGAGCCCAUGCCAAGAAGAAGAGGAGAUGGCAAGGAGUAGGACACGCC